GACGAACGCUGGCGGCGUGCUUAACACAUGCAAGUCGAACGGAAUGGCCCUGCUUUUGUGGGGUGCUCGAGUGGCGAACGGGUGAGUAACACGUGAGUAACCUGCCCUUGACUUUGGGAUAACUUCAGGAAACUGGGGCUAAUACCGGAUAGGAGCUCCUGCUGCAUGGUGGGGGUUGGAAAGUUUCGGCGGUUGGGGAUGGACGCGCGGCUUAUCAGCUUGUUGGUGGGGUAGUGGCUUACCAAGGCUUUGACGGGUAGCCGGCCUGAGAGGGUGACCGGCCACAUGGGGACUGAGAUACGGCCCAGACUCCUACGGGAGGCAGCAGUGGGGAAUAUUGCACAAUGGGCGGAAGCCUGAUGCAGCAACGCCGCGUGCGGGAUGACGGCCUUCGGGUUGUAAACCGCUGUCGCCUGUGACGAAGCGUGAGUGACGGUAAUGGGUAAAGAAGCACCGGCUAACUACGUG
rnacentral:rRNA from 1 species